UCUCACUUCUCUCGUUCUUUUCACAUCGUCAGCUGGACAUUUCCACCUGAAUGUUUCAAUAGCCCUUCCAGUUCACAGUAUAAAAUGCUGACUUGAUCAUCUUUCCUGUGAGCUCUCCUAUUUCUGAUCUCGAUCCUGUAUUCUCUUGAUGUGGCGGAUGAGAUCAUGCCUCUGGCUGGCAGGUACCCACCUAAAUUGAGAUCUUCUAUUCAUUCUGGAGGCUCAAGAAAUGCUCAUUUUUUGUUUCUAAAUCAAGUGGCUGUAUCGUCACAAUGUUGAGAGUGCUGUUAUUCCUGUGUUCAUCAGCAAGCCACAGCUUUCUCAAAGAUGGUUGUCUCAAAUGAGUGAGAAGAGAUGCUGUCCCUAGGGGAAGAUGUUCUAACUCCAGUCUUUUUAAGAGAUUAGGUUUCCCAUGUGGAAGACUCGAAAAUCCAUGGGACCUGUGAGGGAAGGAGACUGAAGGAAGAGACAAGUAGAGGAAGCUGAUGAGAAGCUAUGAAGCAGCAGCCCUGCGGAAAGGCUUGGGAUCCAGUCACACGAGCCUGUAAGAGUGAUUUCUCCUCCAUGUCAUAACUCACCUGAUCCCAGGAGACAAAGGGAUAGAAGGUCCCAGUUGAUGUGGCCAGACCUCUAGGAUGGCCUAAGUGGGAACCUGGAUGGUCUUCCAUGAUCCAUUCAUUCCUUAAAGACUGUCCACUGGUGCCCAGAACUACUGUUGGUAUUGGGAAUAACACAGGGAAUAAAGACAUCUGCAUCAC
rnacentral:lncRNA from 1 species